GUGUCAGCAGCCGCGGUAAUACGAAGGUGGCAAGCGUUACUCGGAAUUACUAGGCGUAAAGCGCAGGUAGGUGGUUUGGUAAGUCCGUAAUGAAAUCUCCCGGCUUAACUGGGAGGGGUUUAUGGAUACUGCCAGGCUCGAGUGUGGGAGAGGUAACUGGAAUUCCUGGUGUAGCGGUGAAAUGCGUAGAUAUCAGGAGGAACACCAAUGGCGAAAGCAGGUUACUGGCCCAAUACUGACGCUGAGCUGCGAAAGCUAGGGGAGCAAACAGGAUUAGAUACCCCGGUAGUCC
rnacentral:rRNA from 1 species